AAGUCGUAACAAGGUAACCGUAGGUGAACCUGCGGUUGGAUCAUUAACAAAUUAUUUAGGCCCCUGGCUGCCCUGGAAAGGGCGAAGGGGGGAAAACCUAAACAUUUGUGUGCACCGUAUCUGUCCUUGGCAGCUCGAGUGUCCCCAGGUUGCGUAACUGCCCCGGGUUCCUACGGAUGGUCUCCCUUAGGGGAUAUUUGAUGUUGGGCCGCCGCUUUUUGGAAAAACCCUUUGUAUGUUUGUUUUUGCCUGAAUUUGUUUGAUCUUUUUGAUUGAAUUUGAAAUACAACUUUUGACAACGGAUCUCUUGGCUCUC
rnacentral:misc_RNA from 1 species